rfam:Schistosoma mattheei strain Denwood, Zambia genome assembly, scaffold: SMTD_scaffold0019321
AUCCAACUGACGAAUCCAAAAUAAGACGAAAAGCGUGUCAAACUGGAU